rnacentral:lncRNA from 1 species
CGACGACGGCACAUAAAUGUCAUUGUCAAUAAAAGUCAAAAUAGAAAAUUAACCUAAUAGGUAGAUAUAAAUUAUUUUUAUUGCAAUCAAAAUAAACAGAAAAUAUGAGUGUAACUCUACGCCUAGGUUUAAUUAACAAAGUUGUGGCCCGAGCACUUAGCAGCACUGUUGUGUUGAGGUACAAAAGAAUGGCGUGUAGCACGAGGUCUGCCAGUUAACCGCAAUGCUGAAGGGAUUCUUACCGACGGUCCGGACUAUACAUUUUUGGACGGAAGACCAACACCGCUUCUGCACAAACAAAAGCUGAGGAUGUUACGACAGAGACAAUAUGCAGAACAAAUAGUACAACUUUGCUCCGAACUGGACUUUGCAAAGGAAAGAUACCAGAAGAUGCAACUAGCGAAGGAACAAGAGAAACAACAGAUCUUAUCGGAUCGGCUGAAGCCCAAAGGAUCCGCUUUGUAUAGGAAAAAGUAAUAUGUUAGUAGUGUAUAUGAUAGUUAUAAAUAUAUGUAGUUGUAA